AGGAAUAUUGGUCAAUGGGCGAGAGCCUGAACCAGCCAAGUAGCGUGAAGGAUGACUGCCCUAUGGGUUGUAAACUUCUUUUAUAAAGGAAUAAAGUCGGGUAUGGAUACCCGUUUGCAUGUACUUUAUGAAUAAGGAUCGGCUAACUCCGUGCCAGCAGCCGCGGUAAUACGGAGGAUCCGAGCGUUAUCCGGAUUUAUUGGGUUUAAAGGGAGCGUAGAUGGAUGUUUAAGUCAGUUGUGAAAGUUUGCGGCUCAACCGUAAAAUUGCAGUUGAUACUGGAUAUCUUGAGUGCAGUUGAGGCAGGCGGAAUUCGUGGUGUAGCGGUGAAAUGCUUAGAUAUCACGAAGAACUCCGAUUGCGAAGGCAGCCUGCUAAGCUGCAACUGACAUUGAGGCUCGAAAGUGUGGGUAUCAAACAGGAUUAGAUACCCUGGUAGUCCACACGGUAAACGAUGAAUACUCGCUGUUUGCGAUAUACAGCAAGCGGCCAAGCGAAAGCGUUAAGUAUUCCACCUGGGGAGUACGCCGGCAACGGUGAAACUCAAAGGAAUUGACGGGGGCCCGCACAAGCGGAGGAACAUGUGGUUUAAUUCGAUGAUACGCGAGGAACCUUACCCGGGCUUAAAUUGCAGAUGAAUUACGGUGAAAGCCGUAAGCCGCAAGGCAUCUGUGAAGGUGCUGCAUGGUUGUCGUCAGCUCGUGCCGUGAGGUGUCGGCUUAAGUGCCAUAACGAGCGCAACCCUUGUUGUCAGUUACUAACAGGUUCCGCUGAGGACUCUGACAAGACUGCCAUCGUAAGAUGUGAGGAAGGUGGGGAUGACGUCAAAUCAGCACGGCCCUUACGUCCGGGGCUACACACGUGUUACAAUGGGGGGUACAGAGGGCCGCUACCACGCGAGUGGAUGCCAAUCCCAAAAACCUCUCUCAGUUCGGACUGGAGUCUGCAACCCGACUCCGCGAAGCUGGAUUCGCUAGUAAUCGCGCAUCAGCCACGGCGCGGUGAAUACGUUCCCG
rnacentral:rRNA from 1 species